AUGUGCCUCGCCUGCUCCCUGCAGCACCCUCUCGCCCGCAGCGCUCCCCAAUCUUUGCAGCACCCCCUUGCCCACAGCAUCCUGUUGCCUGCAGUGCCCCUCUUGCUCCCCACAGCACCCCCUCGCCUGCAGCACCCUGUCGCCUGCGGUGCCCCCUGCUCCCCACAGCACCCUGUUGCUCGCAGCACCCCCCACUCUCCACAGCACCCCCUUGCCUGUGGUGCCCCCCCUGCUCCCCAUAGCACCCCCUCGCAUGCAGCACCCUGUUGCCUGCGGUGCCCCCCUGUUAUGCACAGCACCCCGUUGCCCACAGUGCCCCCCACUCUCCACAGCACCCUGUCACCUGUGGAGCCCCCUACUCCCUGCAGCACCCCCUUGCACACAGCACCCCCUUGCCUGCGGUGUCCCCCUGCUCCCCACAGCACCCUGUUGCCCACAGUGCCCCCCACUCUCCACAGCACCCCCUUGCCUGUGGUGCCCCCCCUGCUCCCUGCAGCACCCCACUGCCCGCAGCACCCCCUCGCCAGCAGCACCCCGUUGCCUGCAGCACCCGGUCUGCUCCCAGCAGCAACCCCUCACCUGCAGCACCCCCUCUGCUCCCGGCAGCACCCCCUCUCCCGCAGCACCCCCUCUCCCGCAGCACCCCCUUUGCUCCUCGCAGCACCCCCUCACUGGCAGCACCCCCUCGCCUGUGGUGACGCCCCUGCUCCCCGCAGCACCCCUUGCCGGCGGCACCCCCCAGGACCGCCCCCUCCCCCUCCCCCGCAGCACCGCCCCCUCCUCCCUCCCCCCCUCCCCUCCCCCUCCCCCUCCCCCUGCGCCCUCCCCUCGGGGUGCGGGCGGCCGCGGACGGGGCUGAGCCCGAGCCGGCUCCGGCUGUCUGCGCGCCGCGCUCCAAGGCAGCGGGGUGAAUGGCCGGCAUCCAGCCCCGCCGGCAACUUGAAAAUAAAAAUAAAGCAGAGAAAAGAAAUAAAUAAUAAGGAGCGCGCCCGAAAGCCAAAGAAAAUACAAUCGCGGGGCGGGGGGCGGGGGGGGCCGCAGCCGGGCCUGGCCCUGGACGGCGGGGCCUCUGUGCCCCCUCCCCGCGCCCUCCCCCUCCCCCUCCCCCGGGCCCCCCCAGGGCCACCCCCUGCGCGUCUCUGUCCUAAUUGCAGAAACACAAUCCGGGGCUGCCCCGCCGCGCCCGGGCGAGGCCAGGAGAGGCCGCGAGCACCCCCGCCCCCAGCACCCCCCAGCACCCCCCCAACACGCCCCCCGCCCCGCAACAGGGCCCGGCUUGUUCUUUGUGCGGCAAAUAUUUAUUUUGGUUCAAGUGGACGCCUUUCCACAAAGACCACCUGGUUGUAA
rnacentral:lncRNA from 1 species